GACGAACGCUGGCGGCGUGCUUAACACAUGCAAGUCGAACGGAAAGGCCCCCACCUUGGUGGGGGUGCUCGAGUGGCGAACGGGUGAGUAACACGUGGGUGAUCUGCCCUGUACUUCGGGAUAAGCUUGGGAAACUGGGUCUAAUACCGGAUAGGACCAUGGUUUAGUGUCUCAUGGUGGAAAAAUUAUUGUUUUGGUGCAGGAUGAGCUCGCGGCCUAUCAGCUUGUUGGUGGGGUAAUGGCCUACCAAGGCGUCGACGGGUAGCCGGCCUGAGAGGGUGGACGGCCACAUUGGGACUGAGAUACGGCCCAGACUCCUACGGGAGGCAGCAGUGGGGAAUAUUGCACAAUGGGCGCAAGCCUGAUGCAGCGACGCCGCGUGGGGGAUGACGGCCUUCGGGUUGUAAACUCCUUUCGUUAGGGACGAAGCCACACCUUUUUUGGGUGUGGUGACGGUACCUUUGUUAAGAAGCACCGGCUAACUAC
rnacentral:rRNA from 1 species